rnacentral:rRNA from 1 species
GAUGAACGCUGGCGGCGUGCUUAACACAUGCAAGUCGAACGAAGCAUUUAGGACAGAUUACUUCGGUUUGAAGUUCUUUAUGACUGAGUGGCGGACGGGUGAGUAACGCGUGGGUAACCUGCCUUGUACUGGGGGAUAGCAGCUGGAAACGGCUGGUAAUACCGCAUAAGCGCACAAUGUUGCAUGACAUGGUGUGAAAAACUCCGGUGGUAUAAGAUGGACCCGCGUCUGAUUAGCUAGUUGGUGAGAUAGCAGCCCACCAAGGCGACGAUCAGUAGCCGACCUGAGAGGGUGACCGGCCACAUUGGGACUGAGACACGGCCCAGACUCCUACGGGAGGCAGCAGUGGGGAAUAUUGCACAAUGGAGGAAACUCUGAUGCAGCGACGCCGCGUGAGUGAAGAAGUAAUUCGUUAUGUAAAGCUCUAUCAGCAGGGAAGAUAGUGACGGUACCUGACUAAGAAGCUCCGGCUAAAUACGUG